GGAUUUUCUAUUAACUGCCUUUGGUGAGCAAAACACUCUUAAUAAAAGGGUAGAGCUUAAAUUAAUAAAGUUAGCUGCUGCACUGCCUGUUGCUACUAAUAUUGAGUAGGUAAAGAAUAUAACUACUAGAGGAGGCAAAGCCACUAGGGAUCCCCCAUUCCCAAAAGAGAAACAAAGAACAUCAGCACCAGUGCAACCAGCA
rnacentral:lncRNA from 1 species